CAAGAACUUUAGGGGUGCUUUACAUUCUAUUCCUAUAUAUAAUAGGAUUUAUGAAUACAAGGCUGAGAAAUACCCUCGGAACCUGAUCCGGAUAAUACCGGCGAAGGGAAAAGGCAAAUUGUGUAU
rnacentral:ncRNA from 2 species